CCUACGGGUGGCAGCAGUGGGGAAUUUUGCACAAUGGGGGAAACCCUGAUGCCGCGAUGCCGCGUGAGUGAAGAAGUAUCUCGGUACGUAAAGCUCUAUCAUCAGGGAAGAAAAUGACGGUACCUGACUAAUAAGCCCCGGCUAACUACGUGCCAGCAGCCGCGGUAAUACGUAGGGGUCAAGCGUUAUCCGGAUUUACUGGGUGUAAAGGGAGCGUAGACGGCAGCACAAGUCUGGAGUGAAAUCCCGGGGCUUAACCCCGGAACUGCUUUGGAAACUGUGCGGCUGGAGUGCAGGAGGGGUAAGCGGAAUUCCUAGUGUAGCGGUGAAAUGCGUAGAUAUUAGGAGGAACACCGGUGGCGAAGGCGGCUUACUGGACUGUAACUGACGUUGAGGCUCGAAAGCGUGGGGAGCAAACAGGAUUAGAUACCCCGGUAGUC
rnacentral:rRNA from 1 species